CCUACGGGUGGCUGCAGUAAGGAAUAUUGGUCAAUGGAGGGAACUCUGAACCAGCCAUCCCGCGUGCAGGAUGAAGGGGCUCUGCCCUGUAAACUGCUUUUGAAUGGGACGAAAAAGCCUCACUUGUGAGGAACUGACGGUACCAUUAGAUUAAGCACCGGCUAACUCCGUGCCAGCAGCCGCGGUAAUACGGAGGGUGCCGGCGUUAUCCGGGUGAAAGGGGGUGUAGGCGUGUGUAUAAGUCAGUGGAGAAAGGCCGUAGCUUAACUAUGGGAUUGCCAUUGAUACUGUAUGACUUGAAUGAGGUUGAGGUUGGCGGAAUGUGGCAUGUAGCGGUGAAAUGCUUAGAUAUGCCAUGGAACAUCGAUUGCGAAGGCAGCUGACUGGACCUGAAUUGACGCUGAGGCACGAAAGCGUGGGGAGCGAACAGGAUUAGAUACCCUGGUAGUC
rnacentral:rRNA from 1 species